rnacentral:rRNA from 1 species
CAGUAGCCGCGGUAAUACGGAGGGGGCUAGCGUUGUUCGGAAUUACUGGGCGUAAAGCGCACGUAGGCGGCUUUGUAAGUUAGAGGUGAAAGCCCGGGGCUCAACCCCGGAAUUGCCUUUAAGACUGCAGGGCUAGCAGGUGAGAGAGGUGAGUGGAAUUCCGAGUGUAGAGGUGAAAUUCGUAGAUAUUCGGAAGAACACCAGUGGCGAAGGCGGCUCACUGGCUCAUACUGGACGCUGAGGUGCGAAAGCGUGGGGAGCAAACAGGAUUAGAUACCCGCGUAGUCCCUGUCUCUUAUAC